rnacentral:rRNA from 1 species
GACGAACGCUGGCGGCGUGCUUAACACAUGCAAGUCGAACGCUGAAGCUCAGCUUGCUGGGUGGAUGAGUGGCGAACGGGUGAGUAACACGUGAGUAACCUGCCCUCUUCUUUGGGAUAACGCCCGGAAACGGGUGCUAAUACUGGAUAUUCACUGAUUCUCGCAUGGGGGUUGGUGGAAAGGUUUUUUCUGGUGGGGGAUGGGCUCGCGGCCUAUCAGCUUGUUGGUGGGGUGAUGGCCUACCAAGGCUUUGACGGGUAGCCGGCCUGAGAGGGUGACCGGUCACAUUGGGACUGAGAUACGGCCCAGACUCCUACGGGAGGCAGCAGUGGGGAAUAUUGCACAAUGGGCGAAAGCCUGAUGCAGCGACGCCGCGUGAGGGAUGGAGGCCUUCGGGUUGUAAACCUCUUUCGCUCAUGGUCAAGCCGCAGCUUUGGGUUGUGGUGAGGGUAGUGGGUAAUGAAGCGCCGGCUAACUACGUG